rnacentral:rRNA from 1 species
GACGUAGGGCGCGAGCGUUGUCCGGAUUUAUUGGGCGUAAAGAGCUCGUAGGCGGCUUGUCGCGUCGACCGUGAAAACUCGCAGCUCAACUGCGAGCCUGCGGUCGAUACGGGCAGGCUAGAGUUCGGUAGGGGAGACUGGAAUUCCUGGUGUAGCGGUGAAAUGCGCAGAUAUCAGGAGGAACACCGGUGGCGAAGGCGGUUCUCUGGGCAUUACCUGACGCUGAGGAGCGAAAGUGUGGGGAGCGAACAGG